UGACAAGAAAUACCGAUGCGGGACCCUACGGGUGCCGCGUUCGGAAUGAGUACGAUUCGAACCACCUAACGAGGAACGAUCGGAGGGCAAGUCUGGUGCCAGCAGCCGCGGUAAUUCCAGCUCCAAUAGCGUACGUUAAAGUUGCUGCAGUUAAAAAGCUCGUAGUUGAACGUUCGGGUUCCGCGGGACGGGGCCGCCCCGCGAGGGACGGCGCCGCCCCGGGGCUCGUGAUAUCUUAUCUCGCCGCCCGUCGCGAGGCGGACGGAGGGAUGGAUGAGGUUACCUGGAAAAAAUCGGGGCGAUCUAGGCGGGCGAACCUCGCCAACGAACGAUCGGACAUGGGAUAACGGAAGAGGGCGUCGGCUCGACUUCGUCGGUUCCUCGGGGCCGAGGCACGUACGGUGAAUAGGGACGGUCGGGGCCGCCGUACCGGGUCGUGAGAGGUGAAAUUCUAGGAUCGACCCGAGACGAACUGCCGCGAAAGCAUUCGGCAAGG
rnacentral:rRNA from 1 species